rnacentral:rRNA from 1 species
GACGAACGCUGGCGGCGUGCUUAACACAUGCAAGUCGAACGGAAAGGCCCUGCUUGCAGGGUACUCGAGUGGCGAACGGGUGAGUAACACGUGGGUGAUCUGCCCUGCACUUCGGGAUAAGCCUGGGAAACUGGUCUAAUACCGGAUAGGAGCCCUUUUUAGUGUGAUGGUUGGAAAGUUUUUUCGGUGUAGGAUGAGCUCGCGGCCUAUCAGCUUGUUGGUGGGGUAAUGGCCUACCAAGGCGGCGACGGGUAGCCGGCCUGAGAGGGUGGACGGCCACAUUGGGACUGAGAUACGGCCCAGACUCCUACGGGAGGCAGCAGUGGGGAAUAUUGCACAAUGGGCGCAAGCCUGAUGCAGCGACGCCGCGUGGGGGAUGACGGCCUUCGGGUUGUAAACUCCUUUCGCUAGGGACGAAGCUUUUUGUGACGGUACCUAGAUAAGAAGCACCGGCUAACUACGUG